UUAUACCACCACGCCACCCUGAACAAGCUCAAUCCCAUCUGAUCUCAGAAGCUAAGCAGGGUGGGGCCUGGUUAGUACCUGGAUCGGAGACCACCUAGGAAGACCAGGUGCUGUAGGUG
rnacentral:rRNA from 1 species